CAAUAGCGUAUAUUAAAGUUGUUGCAGUUAAAAAGCUCGUAGUUGGAUUUCUGCUAUUAUCAUUCGUUUGGCAUUUGCUAGAUCUGAAUUGUAUAAUAGCUUUCUUUUGUUGGGUGAUAUUGCACUUAAUUGUUGUAAUAUUUUACUCUCAAUACUUUUACUUUGAGCAAAUUAGAGUGUUUCAAGCAGGCUUUUGCCUUGAAUACAUUAGCAUGGAUUAAUGACAUAAGAACUCAGUUGUUGUCAUUGGUUUCACGACUGAAUUAAUGAUUAAUAGGGAUAGUUGGGGGCAUUCGUAUUUAACUGUCAGAGGUGAAAUUCUUGGAUUCGUUAAAGACGAACUACUGCGAAAGCAUUUGCCAAGGAUGUUUUCAUUAA
rnacentral:rRNA from 1 species